rnacentral:lncRNA from 1 species
GGAGAGAAUGAGCUUGGAGCCGCAGGGCUUAAUCCCGCGCGGCUCAGAGAUGGGUUUCUGGACUCGCGAAGCAGCUGCAACAAGGCAUCACUCACUGUAUAAGUAUUUCCAUUUCUGAGAGCAAAAGGAAGAACUUAAGCGGGCGGCACUUGGAGUGUAAAUUGCUUUGUAGUAUUUAAAGGCAGAAUGGAUCCUGGGCAGCCGAGCUGAUCAUGAGGUUCCUGAGGCCUCCUAGCCAUGCUUCCUGUGCAGCCUAUGGAACUCAACAAACCGGCAGGACUUCCUGUGAAAUCAUGACCACCAUGUGCUCUUUCAGCCUCUAUCAGUUCCUACCUCUAAGCACCUGAGAGCCAAAGCAAACCACAGGAAACCACAGGUACUAACUCUUUUAGACCUGAUGAAGUGUCUCCCAAAUACAGUCUGGCAUGAAUGAAAGCCAAGCAUAUUCCAUCAUUUCCUAAAACCAAGAUAGAGCACAUAUGGGAACUUGUGAAAUAAGGAUGCCCUGCGGUUGUUUUCAGGACUGAAGACAACAGCUCCACGAUGUAUCUUUGCAUAAGAAUACACUUGUAUAAUAAGUUUUUUUUUUUAGAGAAAUUGCAUGUAUCUGCCUUAUAAACUUUUUCAUUCAUUCAUUUUCUUUCUUCCUAAUCUGUUCCAUAAAGCAAAUUUCUAACUUAUUGUUAAUCAAAAUAAUUAUUGAAAUAAUUAGUACUUUCAUAUGAUAAAGAUUAUUUUAAUCUGCAGCUACAAAAUAUGUAACUCAUUAAUAUUUAAACAAUCACAAUUUUCUAUUAACAUUAUAGCAUUUUAUCUACUACUAGAUCAGGAAUUAGCUAUUUUUUGUAAAAUUUCUUUGUAAGGCAAAGCAAUAGUAUUGUAUAUACUUUCCUAAAGAUUGUCAAGUUCAGUUUUGCUUAAAUUUAACAGUACAUGUGACACUUUCUGUUUGAAGAAUAAGUUGGUUUUAAGUUUAUACCAAACAAAAGCAUCUCUUUUGUUUUGCAAAAUCUGAAACUUUGAUCUUUCUAGUUGUGACUUCUUGUAAAUAUGUUUUAUAUAAAUAUUCUAUGAAUUGGUUAUUAACAAGGUAAAGAAAGAUUGAUAUGUAAGCUGAUUCUUAAACAUUAAUUUUCUGGAGAUAAACUUUUUUAAAAUUAUGCUUUAAAAAUAUUUUAACACAUGUUAUCAAAAAGGAACUGAAAUAUCUUAGGCAUAAAAGACAUCUCUAGAGGUCAUUAUUCAGUUUCCAGAAAGUACUGAAACUAUCUCUGACAGAUUGAUACGUUUUCUGCAUUUAUAGCUCUCUGGAGAGAGGUUCUGUAUAUUUAACAAUUCUCACUGUGAGGGAUAUUUUAAGUAUUUCAAAUUUAAAGUGCUCAUGUUUCAGAUUCAGAUUAUUAUUAUCAUCAUCAUUAUUUUGGUUCUGGCUUCAGUAAAAAUGUGAAAAA